AUUGAACGCUGGCGGCAUGCCUUACACAUGCAAGUCGAACGGCAGCACGGGAGCUUGCUCCUGGUGGCGAGUGGCGAACGGGUGAGUAAUACAUCGGAACGUACCCUGAAGUGGGGGAUAACGUAGCGAAAGUUACGCUAAUACCGCAUAUUCUGUGAGCAGGAAAGAGGGGGAUCGCAAGACCUCUUGCUUUAGGAGCGGCCGAUGUCGGAUUAGCUAGUUGGUGAGGUAAAGGCUCACCAAGGCGACGAUCCGUAGCGGGUCUGAGAGGAUGAUCCGCCACACUGGGACUGAGACACGGCCCAGACUCCUACGGGAGGCAGCAGUGGGGAAUUUUGGACAAUGGGCGCAAGCCUGAUCCAGCCAUGCCGCGUGAGUGAAGAAGGCCUU
rnacentral:rRNA from 1 species